CCUACAGGGGGCUGCAGUGGGGAAUAUUGGACAAUGGGGGGAACCCUGAUCCAGCCAUGCCGCGUGUGUGAAGAAGGCCCUCGGGUUGUAAAGCACUUUCAGUGAGGAAGAACGCCUGGUGGUUAAUACCCAUCAGGAAAGACAUCACUCACAGAAGAAGCACCGGCUAACUCCGUGCCAGCAGCCGCGGUAAUACGGAGGGUGCGAGCGUUAAUCGGAAUUACUGGGCGUAAAGCGCGCGUAGGUGGCUUGAUAAGCCGGUUGUGAAAGCCCCGGGCUCAACCUGGGAACGGCAUCCGGAACUGUCAAGCUAGAGUGCAGGAGAGGAAGGUAGAAUUCCCGGUGUAGCGGUGAAAUGCGUAGAGAUCGGGAGGAAUACCAGUGGCGAAGGCGGCCUUCUGGACUGACACUGACACUGAGGUGCGAAAGCGUGGGUAGCAAACAGGAUUAGAUACCCCGGUAGUC
rnacentral:rRNA from 1 species